rnacentral:misc_RNA from 1 species
UCCUGGUUUCCCAGGCAGUUCCAUUAGGGUGCUCUGCUUUCGCAGUUAGCAACUAACAGCAAGGGUUGCGCUCGUUAAAGGACUUAACCCAACAUCUCACGACACGAGCUGACGACAGCCAUGCAGCACCUGUUCUUGCGUUUGGGCCGAAACCCAAAACAUCGUAUUUCUACGACUAGCGCAAGUAUGUCAAACCCAGGUAAGGUUCCUCGCGUAGUGUCGAAUUAAACCACAUGUUCCACCGCUUGUGCGGACCCCCGUCAAUUCCUUUAAGUUUUAGUCUUGCGACCGUACUUCCCAGGCGAACCACUUAACGCGUUAGCUACGACACUGAUCCGGCAAGCCAGACCAACAUCUAGUGGUUAUCGUUUACGGCGUGGACUAC